GCAAAAGUCAACUGCAAAAGCGAACUGCACAAGCGAAUUGCAAAAGUAAACUGCAGAAGUAUAGUUGAACUGCAGAAGAGAACUGCAAAAGCAAACUGCACAAGCGAAUUGCAAAAAUGAACUGCAAAAGCGAACUGCAAAGUGAACUGCAAAGUAAACUGCUAUGGAGCUUAAUUUGUGUCAAAAUUAAAAAGCAGUAUUUUCUAUUCCAAAGUGAGAAUGGACAUGGGAGGAGAGAAUACUGGAAUUGCUCGUUUUAUGCUAUCUCAUCCUCUUAGGAGAGGGAGUGCGAUUGUCGGUGCUAGUGUACAUAAUCAAGGGUGGAAAGGUUUUGGAGAGAUCUUUUCAUCGGCUGCACAGGAAUAUUUUAUCAUCUUUUUUAUCACAUGGAACAAACAGGCCAGUUGAAUCCGAUAUAGACACCUUACAUCUUUUUCGCCUGCACUUCGUAUAUUUGCCCUACAUUAAUUAUCAAAUAGAUAUAUUUCUUGAUGCGUGGGCAAAUCACUGUUUAAGUUCAGAGCGAAACCAAACUCCACUACAGCUAUGGAUGCAAGGAUGUGUACACAGUUACUGGACACAAUUACUGAUGACUAUACCCUUGUUAUGGGAUUGAUUGGGAAGAGCCUGUGCCAGAAGUUUAAGAAAAUGAACAUGUUGAAGUACCACCUAUAUACUCAUUCUCCACUGUCAGAAGAACAAUUUCAAGAUCUUUCAGCACUCUAUCCUCUACAAAGAACUCUCCAUUCCAGUGUUCAUGCUGUAGAUGUCUUCCAAGAAGUGUUGGACUAUGUUACGGAUAUUACCCAAUAAUGUUUUACUGUGUGCAUGUGGUAUGUGUGUGUCCAAUGAAUACUAUUACAUUUUGGAAAUUGUUUACGAAAAAUACAUUAAAUAUAUUGGAAUUUUAAUUGGAACACUGACUUGGAAUUGUAAUGUUUUUACUGUGUGUGUGGUAUGUGUGCACUGUA